CUCGGGUUNAAACNCCNAAAAGGCCGNAAAACGNCCNCCCCNGGNUAAACGGGGUNGANGNGCNAUUNNUGGCUAAAGCUUCNANNNGGUUGUAANUUNUGGAAUCGCGCUCACCUNGGGGUUAAGGAAUACGNCAAUUUGAACCGGAGAGUGAGGGNAUUNGGGUUAGGAGUGAAUCCNUAAUCUCGAGGACCCCUGUGGCGAAGGCGCUCACCAGAACGGNUUGACAGUGAGGNACGAAAGCGGGGGGACCAACCGGAUAAGAUACCCGGUUAGUCCCANCCGUAAACGAGGCGCGUAAGNUGUAUCGACGACCACGAGUCUUCGAGGUGCCGAAGGGAAACCGUGAAACGUGCCGCUUGGGAAGUACGUUCGCAAGGCUGAAACUUAAAGGAAUUGGCGGGGGAGCACCACAACAGGUGGAGCCUGCGGUUUAAUUGGACUCAACGCCGGAAAUCUCACCGGAUAAGACAGCGGAAUGAUUGCCGGGCUGAAGACUCUGCAUGACUAGCUGAGAGGAGGUGCAUGGCCGUCGUCAGUUCGUACUGUGAAGCAUCCUGUUAAGUCAGGCAACGAGCGAGACCCACGCCAACAGUUGCCAGCACGAUCCCCGGAUUGGUGGGGACACUGUUGGGACCGCCUCUGCUAAAGGGGAGGAAGGAAUGGGCAACGGUAGGUCAGCAUGCCCCGAAUUAUCCGGGCUACACGCGGGCUACAAUGGGCAGGACAAUGGGUAUCGACAUCGAAAGGUGAAGGCAAUCUCCUAAACCUGUCCGUAGUUCGGAUUGUGGGCUGUAACUCGCCCACAUGAAGCUGGAAUCUGUAGUAAUCGCGUUUCAAAAUAACGCGGUGAAUGUGUCCCUGCUCCUUGCACACACCGCCCGU
rnacentral:rRNA from 1 species